rnacentral:lncRNA from 1 species
UCGGAUGAAUGGCUCCUUGCAUCUCAUUUUCCUGUUACCUAAAGAGAGAGUAUGCCGGGCGGAAGAACAGCUGGUGGGGCGGCUGUGUCGGAAAGUGCAUGGCAUGUGUCUAGGAGGUAUCGGGUAGGCCAGAGCGUGCCACGGCUUUCUAAAAUUGGAGGUGAUCGUCUAAGAAGCACAUCAGGCUUCCCGAUGUGGGAGGAAGAGGCAGAGCUUGCGGAUGAGACGGAAGGGCUCAACCCUGGAGAACAAGGAAUGCACAAAAAAACCAGAGGUCACAGACCCCACUGUCAGCAGACAUGUCACUUCCUCAGCUUGGACUCUGAUAAAAUGAGAAUCACGCAGCUUGCAGGUGAGUGGUCUUUCCCACGCCACGGUGUCAGACUCAAAGCCUCCAGGAAAGGCCAGGGGAAGGGGUUCUAAGGUCUUGCAGGUAAACUCGGUGCCGGGAGGAAGAACAGGAGGAGUAGAAGAAAUUGCGUUCGUGCCUGUCUCGGAGCAAGCAGGGGACGAACAGGCAGCAUGGAAAAACCCAGAGACCUUGGGAGAACUAGGAGACUAGUUCCUACCACGAACAGCCUGUAGGUCUAAUAAGUGAAGGACAUCCCCAAGGCCAGCGAGAACCGGAUGGAGGAAGCAAUUAUUUUUCCGGCCCUGCCCUCUUCAGCCUUUGAUGGUAUCUGAGG